AGGGAUGCGAAGUGUGCCUUCAGUAUUCUGCUCUUCAUCAUAGCAUGGUUUACUUGGCCCAUAGCUGUUUAGGAGCAGAGCAGCAUGGUUUCAGGAGCAGCUGUGAUCCUCUUUCACAUAUGAGGCAACAGGCCCAGAGAGGCUGGUCAGUUUGCUCAAGGACCCCACCGAGGAUCCAGUGAUAGUAGAAAUUUGGUGGUCCAGACACUCGGCAGUGUUGGGGAGGAUGGAGCUUCAGGUCCACCUUAGACCCACGAGCCUACACUUUGAAAAGACCACCGAACCCGAGCUGACAUCCAUGCUUUAGCCAUUUCGUGAACACUUCUCUUAGCUGAGUUUCACCAAACGUGCCGCACACCUGGAUCCACUCAUCCAUCCGCUUAGGCGGGGCCGGUGUGCUUCUGAGUGCUGCCGUGCGCGAGGAGCGGGGACCUGAGGGAGAUGGAGCCUUGGAACAGGAGUGGGGGGGGUUUAGGGUCAGACCCCACGUGUUCAGGUGCUGGCUCCACCCCUUCUUGAGUUAGUUACCCACCUCUGCGGCUUCCGUUUCCUGAACUGUGCAGGCUGGGAUAACAACCUGUCUCCAGGGGUUUCGGUGAAGACUAGCAGGAUAACACCUCGAAAAGCGCUGGGUGGACACUUCUUCAAGGACCAGAUCAGCAAGCAGAGUCACCUUUUGGAGCCACCGCCCGGGUCUGCCUUGAUGGGUCAGCACCACGGAGAGCAGCUCACCUCACGCCCAACCCUGGAGCACUGUCCCUGUGGCGUCUACACUUUUGGUGACCGCAGAGGGAUGCAGAGCAGGCUUCUCUCCGUUGCUGGAACGCGGCAGCCUCCAGAGCCGAGGUACCUGCGGAGGCGGCUCGGGCCUCUCCUUCUCCGAGCGUCCAGUUGCACCGGGUGAGUCUCCUGUGCUUCUCCAUCUCUCAUUAUUGGCUGCUGAUUCUAGGUUUUAUUCGGUGGUGUUAAACGCCUCUCUGGAGGCGCAGGAGGUCCUCCUGGAAGCUUGGUUUCAAGAAGAGGUGUUUGGCUCAUGCUCAGGUGCAGACACUGGCCAGAUGCUCUUGCUCCGCGUGGACGCUGAGUGGGCUGCCCUCAGCUGUCAGACCGGGGAAGGCCCCGUCGAGAGACACCCAGGGGGCUGGACUCAGGUCACCGGGAGGAAGAAUGGCCGGCUGCGGUUCCCGGAACGGGUUACCUUCCUGGGGUUUGUCGGCGUCACAGGGAAGAUACCUCCCGAGGGCUUUCACCUCCAAAGAAGAGAGAGGCUAAGAACUCCCUCAACUGACAACAGCAGACUGGCAGACCGCUCUGGGAAGCCUCAUUUGUGGUCUCUGCUUCCUCUCAGUGAGUCUUUCGGAUGUUAGUAAGACAUGAAGAUAAUUCAUGUUAAUUAGGUUGAUGAAUAAGGAAGUAAGAAAAAGAGAAGACAAAGUUUAAAGACUUCUUCCCCCAAAGGUGGAAAUUUGGAAGAAUCUAUCCCCAAAAGUAAAUAAAUCCCCAAAUUCCUGC